rnacentral:lncRNA from 1 species
UUUCUUUUCCGGACCCUGCAGUGGCGCCUAAAGUCUGAGAGAGGGAAGUCGCCUCUGUGCUCAUCAGCCAAUCAGUGUCGCCGCGGUUCCUGGUUCUAAAGUCCUCGCCGGCCCACCGGGACUCAGAUUCUCCCCAGACGCCAAGGUUGCGGGUCAUGGAGUCCCGAACCCUCCUCCUGCUGUUCUCGGGAGCCGUGGCCCUGAUCCAGACCUGGGCAGAUUACAAUUACAAUCAAGGCAGAAAUGAUCUCAUUUUUACAUUACAACUCUGGAAAAGGCAAUAGACUGAGAUGCAAGUGUGCCCCCAAGUGAUGGGCAGAAGGAGAGAAGGUGUUUUGGAUGCAUUCUAGAACACAGGUAAUCUAAGGAGAGUUGAUCAAGGCCGUGGAAGAGUCCUCCAGCCACUAUUGGCCAUCAAAGGAGUCCUCUGUGUCCCAGGAAUGGUCCUGCUUUGGUGUCCCUGGUGUGACCCAUCACCCGCUGGGAACAGCCUGAGAGAAGUAGGGCCUCUGCACCAAUGCUGCUGAGGAUGUCAGAGCACAGGAACGAGGCCUUGGGAAAUUACCUGGAAAUGCGACUGAAAUCUUCCUUCCUGAGGGGUCUGGGCUCUUGGAAAUCAAACCCUCUCAGGUUGGGUGGCUGGACGAUUCUCCUCACACUUACAAUGGGACAAGGGGAACCAGGAGGCCCCCAAGGGGAUCCCUGGGUUCCACACGAACUCCUCCUACCCUCAUUGUGUGACAGCAGCCAUGCCUCCUCCUGGGGAUCAGGAUCUAUUACCUGUGCCUGGAGAGGAGGGGACUCCUCUUCUCACCCGCUGGUCUCUGGACACAUACUGUCCAAUUCCCCUGUGGCAGCUGUAAUGUGUAGUUCAAUGGGCACUCAUUUGUCCCCUUUUAAGGGUACCCUCCUUUAGAAUCCAGGACCUUCUACCCUGCAGAGUGUGGUUUUGGGAGAGAAGUGCAAAAUCCCACGACAGGUGAGUUGAAGGAAUGGGAUAUGGAGCCACAUCCACUUCCACCCCUUGGUAUCUGGACCCACGUGUUCUUCCUACUGAGAUUACAGAACUGUAGAGAUGUCUUUGAUUUUUAAAAUGCACCAUGUCCUGAAAGAUGGCACCCUCCCACCCGCAGAGUGCUUCCUGCAAGCUGGCGUUGAGCUGUGCCUAUAGAAGCUCUUUUCAACAUUCUUUAUGGCCAGCAGCCCUUGGUUGGUGCAGAUGGUGAUAGGACCAGUGGGUCCCACAGCAUGGCCACACUGCACCUCCUUCGCUGUCAAGUGGGUCCCCCACGAAGAUACUGCACGGAGAGCAGUGCCAAGCCUGUGGAUCAGGAAUAUCAACAGCCCCCAGAGAGUGGUGCUGGCUGAGGGUCUGAGAGCAGGACAGGAAAACCCACCUAUGGAAUAGGUGCCUAUCCCUGUGAAGAUGAACCUCUGGCCCUUCCAGGAUGGAAGGAGUGCAAUGUAGUCAACUCCUCACUUAGGGUCUGGUUGGUCACCUAAAGAAAUAGAGCCCUACCAGGGAAGAUCAUUGGGUUCAAAUGCUGAUGAGUAGGACAUUUAGAGGUGGCAGUGUCUGGAUCUACCUUGGUAGGAGGGAGUCAGUACUGUUGGACCCAUAGGUAGCCUCAUCCCUGCCACUGUGUUUGCUCCAUUUAUGUACCCAUCCUACCCGGCCUGGGCUGACCCAUGGGGAAGGCUGGCUAAUUUCAGUGCUUCUGCUUGGUUGUUCAGGGCCAUUUCAGGUUUGGGUGUUUUCUGGGGAUGUUAACAUGGGAUUCAGGCUCAACUCACAAGAAACUUUUCCAUCUCAUGAUGGAUGCUGUUGGGCAUGUCCAAUGUAUGACUUCAUGAGUUACACAGAUGCUAAUUCGUAGGGGCACUUGGAAUCACAUGGUUGUUUUGUGUCCCAUGGUCAAGCAUUCUAUCUUAUCAGGGCCUACAGUAACAUGCCAAAAGUUGCUUCCAACAUAUUUCUCUGCUUUGGAUGGGGCAUAUUUCUGUGCUGUGGAUGACAUGGCCUUACUCCAGAAUCCCAGGCCCUCCACUGUGACUCUCCUACUGGUGCUUGGUUCAGCUCCACCCCAAAUCUUACCCCACCACUGGCACUUUCAGCACCAGGGGGUCUGAAGGAUGGUGACUGCGCCAUGGCCUGGAUCUGCUGCAGUGUCCUUUCCUGUGGAGGCUCCACUCAAAGCUGGCAUCCUCCUAUGUCACCUAGAGUGUGGGUCAAAGCAAUACACCUACAUGUAGAAUGUGAUGUCAGAACUCAAACAGGCUCACCAGGCAGUGUGCUUCCUUCCUUGCAUGAGGAUGCAAGAUGCAACAGUUUGUCUUUCACAUUGGAAGGGACACCCCUGGAUGCCCCUAACCACUAGACCUGUAAAACUUCACUGCAGUGGCCACUUCUGAAUCUCUGUAAGGUUUAUUUAUCUUCACCCUCUGGAGAGAAGAUGUUUUACCAAAGCCUCUAGUGUACCUUCCUCCUCUUACUCAUCCAUCCCAGUCAACAUGAUGUUGUCAAUGAAAUAAAGGAAUUUAAUAUUCUAUAGUAUAUCCAGGUUCUCCAGAUCUCUUAAGACUGUACUAUAGAGGCCUGGGGAAUUAUAAUAGCCCUGAGGCAAACUAUGAAUUAAAGUGUUGUGGAUCCCACAUGAA